AGGGGGAUGUUGAAACUUUGAAGAAUUAUUGUAGCCCAUAGCUAAUUGAACGUUUUAAACCAGAGUGCCCAGCUUACCAAAGUCAAGAUUAUGUAAACCUUGAUGAGCAUCUUUCUAAAAAGACUGCUUUGAUUCAACAGUUCAUUCAACUGGAACAUUUGAAUGUCAAGCCAAACUUUCAGAAUGAAACAUCAAGGUAGCUUGGCAAGAUUACUUUGGAAGACCUAUAUUUCAGUUUCACAUUGGGUUGAGGUUUGACAUUAUUGUUGGAGGCACUUUUUUUUCAUUGUAAAUAAUUUUUUUCUUGUUAGGUAAUGUUUAGAUGAUUAGAUUAUAUUACAAAUCUUUUUAUUAAUUUUGUUGCUAGAGUAGUUGAUUGAGAUUGUGAC